CUUUAAUUCUUCAUAUUAAACCUGGGUUUUCUUGGAAAUUUGUGCUGGUAUUGAUAUCUGGAGUGAAAGAUUUGAAGAGUUUUUCUGGUUUUCUUUAUUCUGAUGAUGGAUCAGCGAAUGUCGCAUAUUGUACUUAUAUUUGCUGAGGACUGCUGAAGAUAUUCGCGAGAAUUACAUAAGGGAAGCUUAUUUACAAAACCAUAUCACAUCAUUAGAUGAUGAAAUCAGUGUUGACAUCCCCUGGAACAAUCUCAGAACAGGCUUUCAUGUCUAUUGACAAGAUCUUAUUCAAUGUUUAUGUACAUAGAUCUGCAGAUGUUGUAUUUGGAAUAGUAGAGCAGAGUGGUGAAUGGAUAACUUCCUGGUUUCUUCCUGGUGAAUUUAGUGUAGAUUGCUUCCCAAAUGUUUGAUUCACUGGAAUAGGGUAUAGAAAUGUAAUAAAAGGUUUUGGACAAUUUUGAUUAAUUUUUUCUGUAUAUGAUUAUUUUUAGUUUUA